AUUGUUUAAAUAUCUUAUAAAUUAAAAACUUUUAAUUUAAAAAAAAAAAAUAUAAAAUAUAAAAAAUGAGAAAAUCGUAUAUUUCAUUAUUAGUCCUUAUAUUCUAUUUUUGCAAUUCAGGACUGACAUAUACCACUGGUAGUGAUGAUUAUAAAAGUGCAGCACAUAAAAGAGCUAAAUAUAGAACAAGCACAAUUAAAAAAAAAAUAAAUUUUGCACAAACUAAUCAACCAUACAAGGAUUUUGCAUUAAAGAUAAGAAGAAAAAGAGAAACCCCUAUCGAUACAAAUAUUUAUGAAGAAUUUGUUAAUUAUGUGAUGAUAAAUCAACAAGAUACAACUAGUUCGUAUUACCAAACUAUCUUGAGUAUAUCUAGUCUAUACAUGUCAUAUAUCAAUAUCAAUGAUCCAAAUAGCAAAAUGGGUUACUCCGCAUUUUUUUUAAAUUAUACUAAUAAACACAAUACGCCAGACUCUCAAACUAAUAUUCAAGCAAAAAUGUUCACAUGUGCAUAUAAUGAAAAAAAAACAGAAUGUAAAAUUAAAUUUAGAUCGAAAAAUGAUAAUCUUGAAUUUUUCUCAAACGGAGACAAUACGAAUAAUGACACCUUCCGUAAUUUAUCUAGUAUAUACAAAACAACUAUUGAUAUCAAUAACACAAAUUUCAAAUCAGGUUACUUCCUACUACUUUUAGCAUAUGAUAAGUUGAAGAAUUCUGAAAAAUCAAUUCGUAUAAAAGUAAGAAUUAUUGUAUGUGCAAAUAAUAUAAAUCAAAAAGAAUGUGAAAUAGUAUUUCCUUCUAAUUUUAAUAAUAAUAAGAGUAGCACUUUGUAUGCAAAUUUGAAAGAAAUGGAAAUUCCCACUGGAAAUCUUAAACCUUUAAAUCAGUAUAAUAAUGACACUGCAAAGGAAGAUGUACAGAAAUCAUCUACGAAUCUAGUUAAUUCUCCCGAACCAAAACAUAUAUUCUAUACAAUCACUUAUCCAACAUCUUUUCCUGGAUACUCUACUUUUAAAAAUUUGUGUGAUAAAAUAAAAAUGGAUGAGCAAGAGUGUACAGAUGUAUUUUACGAAGUGUACAGAAUAUUAAAAAAAAAAUUCACUUAUGAUAUAAUUAUUAAAACUUUAUUAGACAUCUGUAUGAAAUCUAAUUCCAAUUUAAAAAAAAACUUAGAUCAAAUUAUUAUUCCAAAAACAAAUGAAGAAGAAAAAGAAAACCCUGAUAAUAAAAAGGCAAUUCGUUAUGCUUUAAUAAAAAUACUUAAGGAAAGUUUAGUUAGUAAAAACAUGGAAUUGUGUAAAGAAAGUUUCAGCAAAUUAACAUCCAGUUCUAUAGAACAUAUCACCAAACCAAUACCUACUCAUACAAAAGAUUCCAAGAAAUCAACAUCCAGUUCUACAAUUUUUAAUUUAAUUUAUGGUGUAUUCUUAUUGAUAUUUACAAUUUGUAUGUUUUAAUAAUCAUAUUUCAGUUAUAAUUUUAAAAAUAUUAUAAUAGUAGGUCCCAUUAUUUGUGCAUACUUAUAAUAUUAUAUAUAUAUAUACAUAUAUUUUUACCCCGUUUGACAGAAAUUGAUAAUACAUAAUUUACUAAAUUCACAGCAAAAAUCAUAAUUAUUAUUUAUAAUUUUUAUCUAUUUGAUUUAUUUUAUUUAUUUUAUUUAUUGUAUUUAUUUGAUUUAUUUUGUUUAUUGUGUUUAUUUUAUGUAUUUUAUUAAUUUUAUUUUCUUUUUAACACAUAAAUAUUAUAAUUAUAAAUUCAAUGAAUAUUACAAUUCAAAGCAAUUUACGCUUGAAUCUAAGUUAAUAUAAAAAAAUUAAUAAAAAUAUUUUUUUUUUUUCUUUUUUUUUUAUU
rnacentral:lncRNA from 1 species